AAAAAUUAACAACCUAUUAAAUUCAAGACGCACUAUCAUAAAAAAAAUUGAAAGGAACACUGAUCUAAAGUAAGGCUUUUUAAAGUAAAGCAAAGCUUUUCAUCUAAUCCAAUUUUUAGUUUGGAGAGAACCCCUGCAAAAUAAGAUUUUAUUUUUUUGUUUUUGAUAGGUUAUGUAGAGUAUCAGUCAGGUUCUGCUCUUUAAAUGGAAAUCAGUUCGGCAACACUGAUUCAAAGUUGCAGCGGAAAGCAAUUUUUUAUCAGGAGAGCAGUGAGCGUAAACGAUGGGUUUACUAUUUCUUAAGUUGCAAUGGCAGAGAAGGUUCAGAAUCACCCAGAUGCAGCGUAGGAAAAUGAUGAAUUGUUUGUCUUUUUCCUUGUGGGUGCCACUUUGAUCGUAUGGUUUGCCGCCAUAUUAGUCCCGGGGGAGGAGAGUCCUUUGAUUUUUGGACUUUUUUCGGACUCAAGCCCGGUGGAGGACUUGAAUAUUUUAAUGGACGCAAGGGUUGAUUCAUCACGGAAUAAAGUCCGUUUCCUGGCGAAAUUUGAGAAAAAGAUGGAAUCUCUUUUUUCGACGAGUCCAGACUCGAGUCCUUUUUUUAAUACUCGAAUCCAGCCAAUUUCUCCAAAAUAAAAUAGAAGUCGCAAGUCUGGACUCAGCCCAGCACUACACAAUGUAUAAUCGACAAUUGCUUCUUUUUACGGAACAAAAGGUUGUGAGCACAUUUCAGCUGAAAUUUGUGUGUUCGCGUGGCAUCACUGAGUAAGAGGGUGCGGAUUUUUCGGGCCAGCAGACGCCGGUCAAUAAUUCUUGUACAACCAAUCUGGCUGGCGACGCCCUUCCAAAACACUAAAUUUGGCCUCUUUAUUGUUGUAAGGGUGGUACAAACGUGAUUCCUAACUCGUCUUUCAAGCCCAACUGUAUCCAUUACAACCUCACGAGUUUAAGGUCUUCUUUGAAGCGUACUGAAUUGGUUGUUUUGGCAAUAAUUAUGAACGCAAGGCAAUGAGGUGUAUACAGCACGUUUUUGGAUGGUCUUUAAUCGAACAAAAACCAUUCGUACAGGUCGAUGCAGUCACCCGCACUAAAAUUAGACGGGCGGUGCACUGUCUGCGAAACCAGUCUCAACCAAUCCGAACCGACUUUCAAAAAUAGCGGAAGAUAUGAAAAUCAUGAACUUUUACGCCGUGCACUCUCUGUUCAUUUAAUUUCGAUAAAAGCUUCAUGUGACAAUCAGGAGUCCGGAUAUAACUGGA